GAUGAACGCUGGCGGCGUGCCUAAUACAUGCAAGUCGAGCGAACAGAUAAGGAGCUUGCUCCUUUGACGUUAGCGGCGGACGGGUGAGUAACACGUGGGUAACCUACCUAUAAGACUGGAAUAACUCCGGGAAACCGGGGCUAAUGCCGGAUAACAUUUAGAACCGGAUGGUUCUAAAGUGAAAGAUGGUUUUGCUAUCACUUAUAGAUGGACCCGCGCCGUAUUAGCUAGUUGGUAAGGUAACGGCUUACCAAGGCAACGAUACGUAGCCGACCUGAGAGGGUGAUCGGCCACACUGGAACUGAGACACGGUCCAGACUCCUACGGGAGGCAGCAGUAGGGAAUCUUCCGCAAUGGGCGAAAGCCUGACGGAGCAACGCCGCGUGAGUGAUGAAGGUCUUCGGAUCGUAAAACUCUGUUAUUAGGGAAGAACAAAUGUGUAAGUAACUGUGCACGUCUUGACGGUACCUAAUCAGAAAGCCACGGCUAACUACGUG
rnacentral:rRNA from 1 species